CUCAACUUCGCCUGGAAGAAAAAGUUCUAUGUUAAAUCGAAAUAAACUCUUUACAGCUAAAUGAAGGAAAUGAAGAAAUAUAGAAGCUAAAGGUCUUAGCAGAAGAAUUGUGCGUCUGGCAGUGCUGAUUGAUGACUAUACAGUAACCAGCAAAACCAGUACGAAGAAUGCAUUCAUCCGGCCAAGAAUAAGCAGAAAAUUCAUCUGAAAUCCACAGUUUUCGCCAUAUGAAAAGCCGCUGGUGUCCUGAAUAUUAUACACAGAAACAUGAUGAUUAGGUUGAUGCUGGAGGCUGAAACAGAUAAACGUUUCAGUACUGAAUGUGACGGGUGCAGCAGAGGAACGUUUGAGGAACCAGACUGGUGAGAUGGUUCACCUCUCAAACCAGCACUGCUGCAUUUCAGAACAUCUGAUAAAACAUCACUCGUAUGUAAAUGAGGAGAAGUCUGGACGCCGUGUGUAAAGCUGAACGUGUUCAACACGACUGAUCUGAAAACCCAACACAAACACAAUUAAAAAAUACAUACAGUGUACGGACAAAAGUAUUGGGACGCCCCUUCUAAUGACUUCUAAUAAUUUGUGUGUUUCAGCAACAACAGUUACUAACAGGUGUAAUGAAUUAAUUAUAAAAAUGAAAAUUAUAUGCUUCUGACUGUGCAGCAACAGUUUAGGGAAGGACCUUUCCUGUUCUAGCAUGAUUAAACUCUAUAAAGACGUGAAGAAAAACUCAUUUUGAAGAAACUUUAGCCCCACUCAACAGCUCUGGGACGAAACAGAACAUCGACUGAUCAAUCAGCCCGGCCCUGUCGUACAAAUGCUGUCAAGUUUUGAUAGGAUGGGCACAAAUUCCCAUACACAGACACACUUCAAAGUCUUGUGAGAAGCUUCUUAGCUUCCGACAAGCUCACGGUCAAGGUGUCCAAAUACUUUUGACCAUAAAGUCAUUUUAUAAAAAAUAUGUAUUAUAAAUAAUAAAAUCUGUUAGUACAAAUACA